AGAACGAACGCUGGCGGCAUGCCUAAUACAUGCAAGUCGAACGGACUCUUCGGAGUUAGUGGCGCACGGGUGCGUAACGCGUGGGAAUCUGCCCUUGGGUUCGGAAUAACAGUUGGAAACGACUGCUAAUACCGGAUGAUGACGAAAGUCCAAAGAUUUAUCGCCCAGGGAUGAGCCCGCGUAGGAUUAGCUAGUUGGUGAGGUAAAGGCUCACCAAGGCGACGAUCCUUAGCUGGUCUGAGAGGAUGAUCAGCCACACUGGGACUGAGACACGGCCCAGACUCCUACGGGAGCAGCAGUAGGGAAUAUGGACAAUGGCGAAAGCCUGAUCCAGCAAUGCCGCGUGAGUGAUGAAGGCCUUAGGUGUAAAGCUACGUUUACCCGAGUAUGAUAAUGACAGUAGCGGAAGAAUAACGCCCGGACUAACUCCGUAGCCGAGCACGCCGAC
rnacentral:rRNA from 1 species